UUUUGAAGUAAUUUUGUAAAUG
rnacentral:piRNA from 1 species